rnacentral:rRNA from 1 species
UACGUAGGGUGCAAGCGUUGUCCGGAAUUAUUGGGCGUAAAGAGCUCGUAGGCGGUUUGUUGCGUCGGCUGUGAAAGUCCCGAGGCUCAACCUCGGGUCUGCAGUCGAUACGAGCAAACUAGAGUGUUGCAGGGGAGACUGGAAUUCCUGGUGUAGCGGUGAAAUGACGCAGAGUAUCAGGAGGAACACCGAUGGCGAAGGCAGCCCCCUGGGCUGAGAUUGACGCUCGAGGCACGGAAAGCGUGGGGAGCAAACAGG